rnacentral:rRNA from 1 species
ACGGUGAAUGGCGCGUGCUUACACAUGCAAGUCGAACGGAAAGGCCCUUCGGGGUACUCGAGUGGCGAACGGGUGAGUAACACGUGGGUGAUCUGCCCUGCACUCUGGGAUAAGCCUGGGAAACUGGGUCUAAUACCGGAUAGGACCACACACUUCAUGGUGAGUGGUGCAAAGCUUUUGCGGUGUGGGAUGAGCCCGCGGCCUAUCAGCUUGUUGGUGGGGUAAUGGCCCACCAAGGCGACGACGGGUAGCCGGCCUGAGAGGGUGACCGGCCACACUGGGACUGAGAUACGGCCCAGACUCCUACGGGAGGCAGCAGUGGGGAAUAUUGCACAAUGGGCGCAAGCCUGAUGCAGCGACGCCGCGUGAGGGAUGACGGCCUUCGGGUUGUAAACCUCUUUCAGUAGGGACGAAGCGAAAGUGACGGUACCUACAGAAGAAGGACCGGCCAACUACGUGCCAGCAGCCGCGGUAAUACGUAGGGUCCGAGCGUUGUCCGGAAUUACUGGGCGUAAAGAGCUCGUAGGUGGUUUGUCGCGUUGUUCGUGAAAACUCACAGCUUAACUGUGGGCGUGCGGGCGAUACGGGCAGACUAGAGUACUGCAGGGGAGACUGGAAUUCCUGGUGUAGCGGUGGAAUGCGCAGAUAUCAGGAGGAACACCGGUGGCGAAGGCGGGUCUCUGGGCAGUAACUGACGCUGAGGAGCGAAAGCGUGGGUAGCGAACAGGAUUAGAUACCCUGGUAGUCCACGCCGUAAACGGUGGGUACUAGGUGUGGGUUUCCUUCCUUGGGAUCCGUGCCGUAGCUAACGCAUUAAGUACCCCGCCUGGGGAGUACGGUCGCAAGACUAAAACUCAAAGGAAUUGACGGGGGCCCGCACAAGCGGCGGAGCAUGUGGAUUAAUUCGAUGCAACGCGAAGAACCUUACCUGGGUUUGACAUGCACAGGACGUACCUAGAGAUAGGUAUUCCCUUGUGGCCUGUGUGCAGGUGGUGCAUGGCUGUCGUCAGCUCGUGUCGUGAGAUGUUGGGUUAAGUCCCGCAACGAGCGCAACCCUUGUCCUAUGUUGCCAGCGGGUAAUGCCGGGGACUCGUAGGAGACUGCCGGGGUCAACUCGGAGGAAGGUGGGGAUGACGUCAAGUCAUCAUGCCCCUUAUGUCCAGGGCUUCACACAUGCUACAAUGGCCAGUACAGAGGGCUGCGAAGCCGUAAGGUGGAGCGAAUCCCUUAAAGCUGGUCUCAGUUCGGAUUGGGGUCUGCAACUCGACCCCAUGAAGUCGGAGUCGCUAGUAAUCGCAGAUCAGCAACGCUGCGGUAUUCCUCC